CCCUCGGCCUGGCCCAACUGCCUGCUGGCCCUGGCACUGCACCUCCACCCUGUCCCACAGCCCUGGGGCUCGUCAUGGCCUGGCCACCCCACCCAAACUGGGCACUGUUCGUGCUCCAGAACUGCUGUUCAGGAACAUUACAGUGGCUCCAGGCUGUGUUCCACUGAAGUCAAUUAGAAGCUUCCAAAUCAAUCCUUCCUUCCCCUCCUGGCGUUUGUGUGGGAAAUGGAGUUGGUGUUUCAGCUGUGUGGUGCCAGCUGGCAGGGCAGAGCCCCUACAGUGACUGGAGUGCCUGGUGUCAGAGUACUGGUCUCAUGUCAGCUCUGGGGUUUGUGUGACACAGCAUCCUCCAUAGUUGUGAUGGACUGAAAUGUCGGUAAUGUCUUAAACAUUGUCAAAAUCACAGAAAGACUUUUUGUCAAACUACAAGGAAGCAACUGCCUGUCUGGGACCACCGAAGCCUGACUGGAAUUUGGACUGUGACUGGGGACUUGAGAUAAGGCUAUUGUCUAAUCACCUCACGUCUGAGGAGAAGUAAACAAGGCUCAGGAAAGAAGAAUUUAGGUGUGUUAAGAAUCAGCCCUGGCUGGGCUCAGGGGGUAGUGGAGGAGAAAGGCUUUGGGUGUGUGAUGGUGAAAUCUCUCCACACCAAACCAAAGGAGUAACACUCUGGCCCCCGGGAAGACCACGUACACACAGGACAUUCACGUGAGAGGCAGCUGAGAAGGGUUAUAAACCACCAAAGACCCCCAAAGCACCCCCAGACUCAUUCCUGAGGCCUUCCACUACCAGAGCACUGCACAUGAUCCAACUGAUCCAACAAAUCCACAGUCUGUUACAAGAGACUGCAAAGCUUCCCCCCUCCGCUCCAUGGGAGGUUGGGAGGUGCCUGGGCAUCUCCUGAAUGUAUAUUAAUCCAUUGGACUCUAUGUUUUUUAGGAAACCCUCCCCACCAAGCAGACCAGAAGAACCUGACCGACGGGAUGCAGCCAGUGCUGUGACAUUCAAAGACGCCAGUGAAGAUCAAAGCCAGGUUGAGCCAGCAAUUUACAAAGCCCAAGUCAAUGAGAAAACAUGGUUUACAUUUUCACUUGCUUUCAUGCAGAAAAUAAAUUCCAUGGAAAGGAAACUCUUAAUAACUAGCCUGUAGUAAAGAGUAUGGCAUAACUGGCAUAACUCCUUCUGUCUGAGAAGCAUGAAGAUUGCGUCACUGAAGACUG